UCCCUCCCCCAACAAACAUGCGACAGACCAGCAGCACAACAAACACACUUUCUGGACUCUCUACUGGAAAUAUGAGCUCAUAAAUACCUUUCCUGGAGCUGUGAAUCCGCCUGGAUGUGGAGGAGCGUCAGCUGUUGAGCGCAGGUCAAAGAUCUGCAGCAAAAACACAACAGACACACGUGUGUAUCUUCACUGCAGCAGUGGAGAGAGAGAGAGAGAGAGAGAGCAAUGAGUGAACACAAACACUACAACAACAUCACUACAAACUAAACCAACGAAACAAAGUCCCUUACAGGAUCAGUGAAGUGUUGUGGACUGUAAGCCUGUUGAACAGAAGCAGAGACGCGUGAACAGACGCUGACUGUACUGAUGAUGAUCAUCUGCUGCUGCACAGGCUGUAAAGUAUAACCCCUGCUGGGCAUGUCUCCGGAAGCUCCAGGGGGAGACCGAACUGGUAUCCCCCCUUCUUCAGACGCGCCUCACACUCACUCACAUCGCAGAGUUCUGGCUGGGAUCAAACCAGCAACCCCUGAAGCCAUGGGGCAGCGCUCUUACCACAGAGCCACAGAUCUCCUGACUGAACACUUGCUGGAACUGAAGUUAGACUGCUGACCUGUGUGUGAGCUGUUUUAAUAAAACAAAAUACGAGUCAGA